rnacentral:rRNA from 1 species
GAUGAACGCUGGCGGCGUGCUUAAUACAUGCAAGUCGAACGGAGGGUUAGCAAUAACUCUUAGUGGCGAACGGGUGAGUAACGCGUUGGUGACCUGCCCCGAAGACAGGGAUAACAGUUCGAAAGGACUGCUAAUACCCGAUGAAGUUGUGGUGGUUAGAGUGCUACAACAAAAGGAGUAAUCCGCUUUGGGAGGGGCCUGCGUCCCAUCAGCUAGUUGGUAAGGUAAAGGCUUACCAAGGCGAAGACGGGUAGGGGACCUGAGAGGGUGAUCCCCCACACUGGCACUGAAACACGGGCCAGACACCUACGGGUGGCAGUAGUAGGGAAUAUUGCACAAUGGGCGAAAGCCUGAUGCAGCAACGCCGCGUGCGCGAAGAAGGCCUUCGGGUUGUAAAGCGCUUUUCUGGGAGAUGAGGAAGGACAGUAUCCCAGGAAUAAGGCUCGGCUAACUACGUGCCAGCAGCCGCCGUAAGAC